UACGUAGGCAGCAAGCGUUGUUCGGAGUUACUGGGCGUAAAGGGUGUGUAGGCGGUUUUUUAAGUUUGGUGUGAAAUCUCCCGGCUCAACUGGGAGGGUGCGGCGAAUACUGAGGGACUAGAGUACGGGAGAGGAAAGUGGAAUUCCUGGUGUAGCGGUGAAAUGCGUAGAUAUCAGGAGGAACACCGGUGGUGUAGACGGCUUUCUGGACCGACACUGACGCUGAGACACGAAAGCGUGGGUAGCAAACAGG
rnacentral:rRNA from 1 species